CUCAUUAGUGCACAUGUGCUCAGGAUCAUAGAUAUAAGUUACGAUUACGAGAAUAUUAAAAAAAGUGGGACGGAUGCACGGAAGAGGCGUUAGAAGCAGAAGAUCUUUCGGAAAUUGGAAACAACGAUAAAGAAACAAAACUGAUGGUCCCACCUGGGAGUCGAACCCGGGACCACCGAGAAAUUGAAAUUUGUAUCAUGUUUUAUUAAUAGACGUGGUUAUUCACUUU